rnacentral:rRNA from 1 species
UACACAUGCAGUCGAGCGGAAGGCCCUUCGGGGUACUCGAGCGGCGAACGGGUGAGUAACACGUGAGCAACCUGCCCCUGACUCUGGGAUAAGCCCGGGAAACUGGGUCUAAUACCGGAUAUGACCGCCUCCGGCAUCGGAUGGUGGUGGAAAGUUUUUCGGUUGGGGAUGGGCUCGCGGCCUAUCAGCUUGUUGGUGGGGUAGUGGCCUACCAAGGCGACGACGGGUAGCCGGCCUGAGAGGGCGACCGGCCACACUGGGACUGAGACACGGCCCAGACUCCUACGGGAGGCAGCAGUGGGGAAUAUUGCGCAAUGGGCGGAAGCCUGACGCAGCGACGCCGCGUGGGGGAUGACGGCCUUCGGGUUGUAAACCUCUUUCAGCAGGGACGAAGUUGACGUGUACCUGCAGAAGAAGCGCCGGCUAACUACGUGCCAGCAGCCGCGGUAAUACGUAGGGCGCAAGCGUUGUCCGGAAUUAUUGGGCGUAAAGAGCUCGUAGGUGGCUGGUCGCGUCUGCCGUGAAAGCCCGCAGCUUAACUGCGGGUCUGCGGUGGAUACGGGCCGGCUAGAGGUAGGUAGGGGCAAGUGGAAUUCCUGGUGUAGCGGUGAAAUGCGCAGAUAUCAGAGGAACACCGGUGGCGAAAGCGGCUUGCUGGGCCUUACCUGACGCUGAGGAGCGAAAGCGUGGGGAGCGAACAGGAUUAGAUACCCUGGUAGUCCACGCUGUAAACGUUGGGCGCUAGGUGUGGGACCCUUCCACGGGUUCCGUGCCGGAGCUAACGCAUUAAGCGCCCCGCCUGGGAGUACGGCCGCAAGGCUAAAACUCAAAGAAUUGACGGGGGCCCGCACA